rnacentral:lncRNA from 1 species
AAUAGACCUUUUCACGGUAAACGCCGCCAUAUUGGAUAGGGGGCAACAAUCGAGAGCGCCGAAUACGCGUCACCUGACACGAGUAAAAAAUGGCGGAAAGUUUAAAAUCGAUAACGAUUAGACUGGCCAUGUAGAUCUCCAACAUUUUAACAUUUACACGACAAGUCAACACCAGUAGAAGGUCUACUACAGUUGUCAGGAAAGUCUUGCAUCAAGAUCAGAUCCAUCUUACUGUGGCAGUCAAUGUGAUCAUGUGGUAGUUUUGUGGGAUGGUAAUUAAGAAGUAAGCAUAUUGAAUACUGUGACACUGAAGGUUGGUUACCAGUGUAGUUCAAGCAGAGAACACAGUUACAGUUCCAGUUCAUCCACAGAACUUUACAUCUACAGCUAUACAAUGAACUGAAGUUGAUCUUUUUUUCACACUGAAGGUUACCAGUAUAGUUCAAGCAGUGAACACAGUUACAUUACAUCUACAGCUGUACAACAAA